rnacentral:rRNA from 1 species
UACGUAGGCAGCAAGCGUUGUUCGGAGUUACUGGGCGUAAAGGGUGCGUAGGCGGCUUUUUAAGUUUGGUGUGAAAUCUCCCGGCUCAACUGGGAGGGUGCGCCGAAUACUGAGAGGCUAGAGUGUGGGAGAGGAAAGUGGAAUUCCUGGUGUAGCGGUGAAAUGCGUAGAUAUCAGGAAGAACACCCGUGGCGAAGGCGGCUCUCUGGGACGGUACUGACGCUGAGACGCGAAAGCGUGGGGAGCAAACAGG